GCCUGGCUGGCCCAGUUGGUAGAGCAUGUGACUCCUGAUCUCAGGGUUGUGAGUUCAAGUCCCGUGUUGGGCA
rnacentral:tRNA from 1 species